rnacentral:rRNA from 1 species
GAUGAACGCUGGCGGCGGGCCUAAUACAUGCAAGUCGAGCGAACAGACGAGGAGCUUGCUCCUCUGACGUUAGCGGCGGACGGGUGAGUAACACGUGGAUAACCUACCUAUAAUACUUGGAUAACUUCGGGAAACCGGAGCUAAUACCGGAUAAUAUAUUGAACCGCAUGGUUCAAUAGUGAAAGACGGUUUUGCUGUCACUUAUAGAUGGAUCCGCGCCGGAUUAGCUAGUUGGUAAGGUAACGGCUUACCAAGGCAACGAUGCGUAGCCGACCUGAGAGGGUGAUCGGCCACACUGGAACUGAGACACGGUCCAGACUCCUACGGGAGGCAGCAGUAGGGAAUCUUCCACAAUGGGCGAAAGAUUGACGGAGCAACGCCGCGUGAGUGAUGAAGGUCUUCGGAUCGUAAAACUCUGUUAUUAGGGAAGAACAAAUGUGUAAGUAACUAUGCACGUCUUGACGGUACCUAAUCAGAAAGCCACGGCUAACUACGUG